rnacentral:rRNA from 1 species
UACGUAGGGUGCAAGCGUUAAUCGGAAUUACUGGGCGUAAAGCGUGCGCAGGCGGUUAUGCAAGACAGAUGUGAAAUCCCCGGGCUUAACCUGGGAACCGCAUUUGUGACUGCAUAGCUGGAGUACGGCAGAGGGGGAUGGAAUUCCGCGUGUAGCAGUGAAAUGCGUAGAUAUGCGGAGGAACACCGAUGGCGAAGGCAAUCCCCUGGGCCUGCACUGACGCUCAUGCACGAAAGCGUGGGGAGCAACAGG